rnacentral:lncRNA from 1 species
CUGACAGAUUUAGCCACUGAUUAUAUAGGGUUGUGUUUCCUGACAGAUUUAGUCACUGAUUAUAUAGGGUUGUGUUUCCUGACAGAUUUAGACACUGAUUAUAUAGGUUGUGUUUCCUGACAGAUUUAGACACUAGUAUAUAGGGUUGUGUUUCCUGACAGAU